AAGAUCGACAACUUUUACGUAGAAGUGAGUUCCAGAAAUUACAUACUUUGUCAGUUCUUUCUGUUCUACAAAACCCUUUCUGUAGAAAGAACUGCAAUUUCAGUAAAUAUGUGGUUGAUGGCGUUUUUCUUCUCACUCGCACCACCAGAGUGUCAGUCUGUUAUUUACAUCCUACUCGCGCGCAAGCAACAACUUUUGCAGAACUGCCUGUAAGUCUGUGAAAACUUCAAAAUUUUUCCGUUUUUCUCGCAUAAUUGUUGGUUUCCUCUGGGUCCAGAAGCGUCAUAAAACGCUAUCAUUAGACGAUUCUACGAUCUGAUUCUACCAUAGUUGCGGCCGCAACCAAGCAAAUUAAAAAGCAGGGGAUUUCCAACUUCAACACCCAGUCGACUGUUGAAUCACUCCCUGUCCCAGAAGUUGAACCUAUAAGGACACCUGCUCAAGCGUCGAUGUUCUGGUUAGGCCAAUCCCAUCCGGGUGGCUUCCAUCAUGAUAUGUCCAAUUCAAUCCCCAACGGAAAAACGGACUUCUUGGAUGAAGCGGAGAAAGUUUGCAAAAAAACUGGCCGGAAAUAAUGAAAUCAAUUUACUACAAAAUCUUCAGUUGUUUUUGAAUUG